UACGUAGGGGGCAAGCGUUGUCCGGAAUCAUUGGGCGUAAAGCGCGCGUAGGCGGCCCGGUAAGUCCGUUGUGAAAGUCAAAGGCUCAACCUUUGAACGCCGAUGGAUACUGCCGGGCUAGAGUCCGGAAGAGGCGAGUGGAAUUCCUGGUGUAGCGGUGAAAUGCGCAGAUAUCAGGAGGAACACCGAUUGCGAAGGCAGCUCGCUGGGACGUUACUGACGCUGAGACGCGAAAGCGUGGGGAGCAAACAGG
rnacentral:rRNA from 1 species